rnacentral:rRNA from 2 species
UACGGAGGGUGCAAGCGUUAUCCGGAUUCACUGGGUUUAAAGGGUGCGUAGGAGGGCAGGUAAGUCAGUGGUGAAAUCUCCAAGCUUAACUUGGAAACUGCCGUUGAUACUAUCUGUCUUGAAUACCGUGGAGGUGAGCGGAAUAUGUCAUGUAGCGGUGAAAUGCUUAGAUAUGACAUAGAACACCAAUUGCGAAGGCAGCUCACUACACGAAUAUUGACUCUGAGGCACGAAAGCGUGGGGAUCAAACAGG